AAACUCUUUUCUCGGAACUCCUCGUCUGUUUUCCCUAUAAAUUUUGAAUUGUAACACAUUGCACGUUUGUGUUUGUAACCACAACUUCACCUGUGAAAAUGUCUGGAAGAGAAGGUGGCAAAAAGAAACCCCUGAAGAACCCCAAGAAACAAUCAAAAGACAUGGAUGAGGAUGAAAUGGCAUUUAAGCAGAAACAAAGAGAGGAACAACGAGCAAUGAAAGAGAUGCAGGCCAAAGCUUCAGGCAAAGGCCCUCUAGCAUCAGGAGGCAUUAAAAAAUCUGGGAAGAAAUGACAGGAUAUAGAACUCGAAGCCAUCGUCAGUUACUUGAACACUUUUCUGUCUGGUGCUGGUGAACAUUGAUGAAAUAUUGAAAUUUUAUGAGAAUUGCUUAGGAAUAAAAUAAAUUUUUCCUGUUGAAAAGAGAAAAUUUGUUCACUACAGGAUUUCAUACAUAGGUACAUGUUGGUCUUUUAAAGCACUUCAAUUUUUACAUUUUGUUAAAGAAUUAUUUCUUGUGUUCAGUGGUUAGUGCCUUUUCUCCCCCCUCCCCCAACAAUCUUGUAUUGCUGACUUGUUCCUUUUGUGUUUUGUUACUCAUUUAAUUAAUAAAGUAAGAUUGGAAAAGUACAUUUGAUUUACAAAACUGAAAAUACAUGUCCAUCACUUUUGUACUGGUGUAAAGGUUGGAAUUUAUUUAUGAGACCCGUUAAUGUACAACAGAGUUUGUAUUAUUACAUGCAAAGUUUCUAUACACUGUCAAUAACAUGUUCCUCAGGACCUUAUGUAUUAAUAGAUUAAAAAAAAAAAAAUUGGAAUGAGAUGAUAUUGUUUGUUUCAGUGCAAUUUCUGAAUAAUCGUGUUCCCAAAAAACUAUUACACAGGAAUGUAACUUAUUUCCUGUCAAUCUGAUGUGUAAUUUUUAUUAUUUUUUUUUUGUAUGGAAAUAAACAAAAAUGUUCGUAU